rnacentral:rRNA from 1 species
GUGGGGAAUAUUGCGCAAUGGGGGAAACCCUGACGCAGCAAUACCGCGUGAGUGAAGAAGGUUUUCGGAUCGUAAAACUCUUUUAUUGGGGAAGAAGAAGUGACGGUACCCAAUGAAGAAGUCCCGGCUAACUACGUGCCAGCAGCCGCGGUAAUACGUAGGGGACAAGCGUUGUCCGGAAUCACUGGGCGUAAAGGGCGCGUAGGCGGUUUUAUAAGUCAGAUGUGAAAGGUACCGGCUCAACCGGUGACGUGCAUUUGAAACUGUAAGACUUGAGUACUGGAGAGGCAAGUGGAAUUCCUAGUGUAGCGGUGAAAUGCGUAGAUAUUAGGAGGAACACCGGUGGCGAAGGCGGCUUGCUGGACAGAUACUGACGCUGAGGUGCGAAAGCGUGGGGAGCGAACAGGAUUAGAAACCCGGGUAGUCC